UUGACAUGUAGACGCAAUGUUAGAGCUUUGUCACUAUAUAUUAGUUUUAUUAGAAAGAAAGACGAUGAUCUUUUAAAUAAUACGAAUAGGCCUAUAUUCACUGAGUGGAGAUGUGGGUUAAACUAACAGAACCGAGAACGAAGAUCAUGCUUCUGAGUGGUACAAAGCACCCUGCACACAAAUACAAAGCCAACAAAGAUUAAGUUUUGUUCUGCCUGCCACGUCAGGAAUAAGAGUACGUGCCGUUUGGACUGGGACUGGAUUUGCAGGAAUUACAAAGAGGAAUGACACGUCAUACAGCAGUGUCCUUCUCACCUGCACUGCCAGCAUAGC